rnacentral:RNase_P_RNA from 3 species
UGAGUAAGACAAAUGGCCGCAGCUGCAAAGCCGAAAGGCUGCAGAUGAGGAAAGUCCGGGCUUCACAGGGCAGGAUGCCAGAUAACGUCUGGCGGAGGCGACUCUAGGGAUAGUGCAACAGAAAUAUACCGCCGCAAUUCUCACGAAGGCAACGAGCCAAAUGGACGUUUGCACGGCAAUUUGGCGAAUGUUCGUGGGGUAAAAUACUCCGCAGCUUGCUGCGAGGUAUUUGAUCUGCGGUAAGGGUGGAAUGGUGGUGUAAGAGACCACCGCCCUUCUGGUAACAGGAGGGGCCCAUGUAAACCCCAUCCGAAGCAAGACCGAACAGGGAGCAUAAGGCGGCCCGUCUGCUCCCGGGUAGGUCGCUGGAGCCUGCCGGCGACGGCAGGCCUAGAUAGAUGGCCAUUCAACGACAUAACCCGGCUUAUCGUCUUGCUCAAAAC